AACAAAUUUCUGGCAUUUUUAGUUUCUCAAUCAGCAACCGAAAUUCCCUUUGAUAUCCUAAACAGAAACCAACUAUUUUUCCCCUCAUCUCCAUAUGCCAAUUUCAUUUCAUCUCAUUUUAUUUCAUAGAGACACUAGCAUAUCAUGCGACGAUCGAGUGGUCGCCACAUGGGGGCUCUCGGUUUUGGUUUUGGAUCUGGAUCUGGAGCGGAUCGUUCGAUUCGGUUCGGUUCGGUUCGGUUGGUCUGACUCUGGGUCUGGGUAUGGGUAGACCCAGGCUAUGGGUCCGCUUGUCUGUCAUCCAUUUGGCAAACUUCAACAGAUCGUUUCGUCAACAAUGCCAAACAGCAAAGGCAACAAAAACAACAGCAGUCCCCACAAAAGCGAGGCGAAACAAUGGACGCCACUCAUCGAGUGGGCCGGCAACUGUAGAAAAAUAAAAAAAAAAUAAAAAAAUAAAACCAAGCCGACUUGAGCUCCACGAACUGUGGACUGAAAGCAUAGAAGCUGGUUUGACACUGAAAAUAUAGAAAGUAUUUCUAAAACAUAUUCCAAAAUAAAACUAUUAAUAAAUUAGAAAAAUUCUGAAAGUCUUUAGAAAGCUUCUUAAAACAUUUUUCAAAUCAAAUAUAAUUUUAAGAAUAGUUGUAUUAUUUUUUGUAUUUUGUAUAGAAUCCAUUAUCCAUGUCACACUGACAAAUUUCAAGUGAUUCUUCUACUACGUCGUCGCAUUUGAAGGCAAUCGAGCCCUGCGUAGGAGGCGUUUGGCGCGUGUGUCGGCAUAUUGAAUAGGUCGACCCCCAGCUAUGGUAAUACAACAAAAAGCGCGAUCUAGCACCCCAAACCCUCUAAUACCACCACCCAUCCCACCAUCAUCGAGACCCAGACUAUAUGCCGCGGUGGGGCGUGACAAAUUUUUCAGCGUUGCCUUUUCAUGUUUUGUUUAUAAUUUUAUCUAAUAUUCACGGAGCACUUUGGGGGCUGUCAUAUGCUCAAAUCGGAGGGAUCUAGUACGACCCCAAACGUUGAAUCCCCUCACCGAUAGCUCACCUUUUCGGUUUGUAAACAAACCAAAAAAAAAUAAAUAAAUAAAUAAAACGCACCAACGCCUCUUGAAUUCGGAAUUCGUUGGAUCGAUUGGUGCGACGAUUUCGAAAUCACUUUCAAAAUCAUUUCAACAUUUUCUCAGCUGCGCUAUCUGGACUUGUGCUAUGAUUAUAACGAGGGACAUUCAUCAAAAUAAAAUAAAUUGUUUAUCAGGAUAACAAUGAGUGUGAUUAUAUUUUAUCUAGAAGGCAAAUAGAUACAAUAUUUUUGAUGUUUACUGCGAGGCAUUUGAUAGAUACGUUUUCUGAUUUCGCCUCAUUUGCAUUUUAUGUUUGCUUUUAAUUAGUAAUAUUUAGUUUUCAAGUUUCUCUGCCAUAUUGGUGAUUGGAACGCCUUUAUUUAUGUUGGCGCCAGACUCGAAAAUCCGAAUAUGAAUCCACAAAUGGGUAGACGACCGACCGACGACCCAAAGGUGUUUGAGUUAAGACGAGGCCAAGAUCGGGGCACGUGCCUAGACUAUCACCACGCCAAGGUUAUUGGAUGAGCAAGCCUUUAUGAGUAUUAUAGAUUACCCAAUGUGACAUCUGCACAAUUUGCAGAUUCAGAUGCAGAUGCUGCAUCAGAUGCAAAUGCAAAAUGCAAAAGAUUUUAUCAUAUUUAUACAAAAUUCGAUGUAAACAGCCGAGAGGAGGAAGCAAUCGAAAUAAACAAAAUUGAAUUGUA